AACUUCUCUCAGGAGCCCCCGGGCCAGACCCAUUUCCAAGGGGGAAUCCCCGGGACGUCGGAGGCGGCGGCGGGGCGCGCGCCCCAGACACACUCACACACGCGCACACUCACACGUGCAACGUGCACACACCUGGCCGCCGGCUGCACGGCAUCGAGGGGGCUGUCUGUCACCCCCAUGCCGCCGUCCGCCCCCACGCACGCUCCCUCGGCUGCACCCGGGGCGCCCCGCCUGCCCCCCAGGCCUGCCUCUCACAGCCGGCGCUCGCUAACAGGGCGAACUACGCCGAGUAGGGAUGAACACAGCGCAGCUUCUGAACGCGGACUGCCAGCCAGGACAGACCCGGAAAUUUAAACUCGGCAUCCAGAUUUGACCAACCAAAGAGAUGCAGAGAAAACAGACUUCAUGUAUUUAUUCAUUCAUUUAUUAUUUAUUUAUUUAUUCUUUAUGGAGCCGGGCUCCGUCUUUGUUGUCAGUAUGGUCAUUUUUUACUUUCUUAAAAAAAAAAAUAAAUAAAAGCAACCAUA